rnacentral:tRNA from 1 species
GGCCUGUAGCUCAGGUGGUUAGAGCGCACGCCUGAUAAGCGUGAGGUCGGAAGUUCGAGUCUUCCCAGGCCCAC